AUGCAAAGUGUCAUUCUAGAUUUGCUCAAUAUGGACCAUCCAUAUGCUACUAUACCUAAUAUUUUCAAUUUUUUGUGGUGCAUAUGGAAGUCCAGAUGUGAUUGUCUUUUUGAUAGGAGAUGCUCACUCCCACAUCAGGUACAUGUGGCUGCCUUAGCUUUGGACGACCAGCAGAAGUCUCAGAUGGUUUCCCCCUUAGAUGAUCGCAAUGUUGUUACUAAUGCUACUUCCCUUGUUAAUGCUACUACAUUGCCAAUUCAGGGAAGCACUCUUACAACUGAUCUUCUUAUUGAUGGUGCAAAAAUCUAUUCUGAUGCUUCUUUUAGAUGCUCAAAAGUUCCAGGUUUACCAAAUGGUAGUGUUGCCACGGGCAUUGGUGUCUUUCUCAAAUUCGUUCAAGGCAACAAGAACGUUGACGUGUAG
rnacentral:rRNA from 1 species